rnacentral:tRNA from 1 species
GGAGAGGUGUCUGAGCGGUUGAAAGAGCACGAUUGGAAAUCGUGUAUGUCCUGAUUAAGGGGCAUCGAGGGUUCGAAUCCCUCUCUCUCCA